CAAUCUGAAUCCUCAGAGGAAUUUCGUUUGUGAAUUAAUAAAAGAAAGUAGACCAAUCAAAUCGCGGCGGUCCGUCACAAAAUUGUGACGAGAUUAAAGUUGAUUUAUAUCGGUGAAGUCCGUUCUGGCUGAAAGCCAAGACCGAGAUAAUACCGAGGGAAGUUUGUGGGUUGAAUAAUGGUGGCGAUGUAAAGUCCAGACACCGGUGAGCCUGAGGCUUAAAGGGGUUAAGGGCUUCUGGCGAAGAAAGCCUAACGGUGUGCAUUGGCCUUGGAGCCGUUGCAUCGUCAUCACAGGGGAGUGUGCGCAGACGUGCACUCCCCGACAUUAUUCAAUUCACAAAUGCCCGUAGAGACUAAACAUCAACAGCCCGCCAUAUUAAAAAUAUGCCGAGGUGAAGUUAUAGUCCAAUGCACGAAGUAAUUCGUGG
rnacentral:autocatalytically_spliced_intron from 4 species